rnacentral:tRNA from 1 species
AAUAAAGUGACUGAGAGAAAGGUGGUGAAUUGUAAAUUCAUAGACAAGUUAAAUACUUUUUUAUUA